UACGUAGGUGGCAAGCGUUGUCCGGAAUUAUUGGGCGUAAAGAGCUCGUAGGCGGCUUGUCGCGUCGAAUGUGAAAACCCACGGCUCAACUGUGGGCUUGCAUUCGAUACGGGCAGGCUAGAGUUCGGUAGGGGAGACUGGAAUUCCUGGUGUAGCGGUGAAAUGCGCAGAUAUCAGGAGGAACACCGGUGGCGAAGGCGGGUCUCUGGGCCGAUACUGACGCUGAGGAGCGAAAGCGUGGGGAGCGAACAGG
rnacentral:rRNA from 1 species